rnacentral:rRNA from 1 species
CCUACGGGUGGCAGCAGUGAGGAAUAUUGGUCAAUGGACGAGAGUCUGAACCAGCCAAGUAGCGUGAAGGAUGACUGCCCUAUGGGUUGUAAACUUCUUUUAUAUGGGAAUAAAAUGUUCCACGUGUGGGAUUUUGUAUGUACCAUAUGAAUAAGGAUCGGCUAACUCCGUUCCAGCAGCCCCGGUAAUACGGAGGAUCCGAGCGUUAUCCGGAUUUAUUGGGUUUAAAGGGAGCGUAGGUGGAUUUGUAAGUCAGUUGUGAAAGUUUGCGGCUCAACCGUAAAAUUGCAGUUGAAACUGGCAGUCUUGAGUACAGUAGAGGUGGGCGGAAUUCGUGGUGUAGCGGUGAAAUGCUUAGAUAUCACGAAGAACUCCGAUUGCGAAGGCAGUUCACUGGACUGCAACUGACGCUGAGGCACGAAAGUGUGGGUAUCAAACAGGAUUAGAUACCCUUGUAGUC